CUGUCAGAAUAUAUAUGUCCAUUUUGAAUGGACUAGGUGAUUCACACCAUUAUCUCGGACAGCGGUUCGAUUCCGCUCAGCUCCAUCUAUUCUGGGGCUGCAAUGGCUUCGACGGGGUUCUAGGAGUUUGACUGAAACCUGCUCGGUUAGAGCAAAACCAUAACUGCUAACAAAAUCGUUAGUUUCUCCCGUCAAACAGCACCUGUUGCUGCUUGACCUUAUAAAGGAGAUGGGGUUAGAUCAGCCUUAUCAACCAAAUGAUCCAUUGGGCUUGGAAGAGCCC
rnacentral:tmRNA from 23 species